rnacentral:rRNA from 1 species
GAUCCUGGCUCAGGACGAACGCUGGCGGCACGCCUAACACAUGCAAGUCGAACGGACGAGGAGGAGCUUGCUUCUCCGAGUUAGUGGCGGACGGGUGAGUAACACGUGAGCAACCUGCCCUUGAGAGGGGGAUAGCUUCUGGAAACGGAUGGUAAUACCCCAUAACAUAUAUUUUAGGCAUCUAAGAUAUAUCAAAAGAAAUUCGCUCAAGGAUGGGCUCGCGUCUGAUUAGAUAGUUGGUG